rnacentral:misc_RNA from 1 species
GAAAUGCGAUAAGUAGUGUGAAUUGCAGAAUUCAGUGAAUCAUCGAAUCUUUGAACGCACAUUGCGCCCCUUGGUAUUCCAUGGGGCAUGCCUGUUCGAGCGUCAUUUGUACUCUCAAGCUUUGCUUGGUGUUGGGUGUUUGUCCUCUCCUCUUGUGUUUGGACUCGCCUCAAAGAUAUUGGCAGCCAGUGUAUUGGUAUUGAAGCGCAGCACAAUUUUGCGAUUCCAACCCACAUCGCUAGCAUCCAUUAAGGCUAUUUAACACGCUUGACCUCGGAUCAGGUAGGGAUACCCGCUGAACUUAA